ACUCAAAUGAAUAGACGGGGGCCCGCACAAGCGGCGGAGCAUGCGGAUUAAUUCGAUGCAACGCGAAGAACCUUACCUGGGUUUGACAUCAUCGCUAAUCCUCCAGAGAUGGGGGGUCCUUCGGGGGCGGUGACAGGUGGUGCAUGGCUGUCGUCAGCUCGUGUCGUGAGAUGUUGGGUUAAGUCCCGCAACGAGCGCAACCCUCGUUCGAUGUUGCCAGCGGGUUAUGCCGGGGACUCAUCGAAGACUGCCGGGGUCAACUCGGAGGAAGGUGGGGAUGACGUCAAGUCAUCAUGCCCCUUAUGUCCAGGGCUUCACGAAUGCUACAAUGGCCGGUACAAUGGGCUGCGAUACCGUGAGGUGGAGCGAAUCCCAAAAAGCCGGUCUCAGUUCGGAUCGGGGUCUGCAACUCGACCCCGUGAAGUCGGAGUCGCUAGUAAUCGCAGAUCAGCAACGCUGCGGUGAAUACGUUCCCGGGCCUUGUACACACCGCCCGU
rnacentral:rRNA from 1 species